CAGGAUUCGUAAAUUGUUCUUGGGGUAUGCUUAGCGUUUUUGUUUUUUUUAAGUUAUACCACAAUAAAGAUAUAAUUUAUAUUAAAAUGGGAACAGUUUAUAUUCUUUAACUUACUUUUUCUCUAAUAAAUUCUUGAAACGUGAGGUGCAGUAUAUAAACUACCAAUACAUAGCAUUCUAUUUUAACUCGACACGUUACCAGUAGCUGCUUCUAUGAUUCACCUGGCCGCAGACGCGUUCACAUUCUGUGUGGCUUGAGAUGAAUGGAAGGUUUAGUACUCAAUAAAAAGUCAGAAAAAAAAACGUAUUAUAACAGUGAGUUUUGGUAUAAAAACUUCUUCUUCUGGUAUUGGUGGGCAAAGAAAUGAGUUCUUAGAACUCCGGCCUGUCUUUCCGCCACAUUAGGCCGGAUACUCGAGUAUAAUAAAGAAAACUGUGUAACCAAUUCUAGAUUGCUCUAGCAUUAUUUUCACUGUUCAAAAUAACAUACUUUCUCUUAAAAUAGCUAUCGGACAUCUUCAAAACGAAGCGUUAUCUAGCGAAUCAAUGAAUCAAUAUUCUUAACAUUAUCAAGAACCUUGUUAACAUUAAUAACUAUUAGUAACAUGUAUUCCAUAGAUAUUUUUGAAUUGUAAGUUAUUUAAUUCUCUAUAAUCUAACAAAUUUGAAUGUGCCACCGAGAUAUAAAAGAUUAAACUACAUCAAAUAUAAAGGAUUGAACAAGGUAGUAUUUGAAAGUACCGUUUUAAUCUUGAUAAUAUGACUGUUUUUUUUCUGGUGGUUUUCACAACAAAAACGGCUAGUCUCUACUUAUAAUAUAGAAUAAUACAUACAUAUGAUGAAGCUCUACAGAGCAAACUGUUUGACCUACAGCUACCAAAUUUGUACCAGAUAUAAUAUGGAGAUUGGAAAUGUGUCUUUUUUCAAAUUUUAAUUAAUCAGCAAUAAAACGAUAUUUUCAUUUGUUUCAAUAUAACUCCAGAAAAUAUUAUUAAACAACUAAUUUUUGCACCUUCUUAAAAUUUCAAAAAAUAAAAUCUUUUUAAUUAUAUCAACUUUUUAGUCAAAACAGGUGAAAAGCUAAUAAAAUGAAACAGCUUUAAUGUUUGCAACAAUUGAUUUUUAAAAGUAGAGAGAAUCGGGAGUAUCAUGCUAUGCAUAGGAGAUUCAGUUGAAAUUACAGACAACCAAUAUCUUCGACGAACCAUCUGAUCGCUAAAUAUUUGUUCUCGCUAUUUUACUUAGGAAUCACUUUGAAACUAAUUUCUAACUGAUAAUUCUAAACGUUAGAAAUGAGCUUAUAUAAAUUAAUUUAUCGAGCAAAAUAUUAAGUUCAUCUUUCUCUUGAAGGCAAAAUAUUCCCUACAUCAUAAUAUUCAUCAUUUUUGAUCACGUGAUUCGCCUUUACAAACCAUCCACAUGUCUUGACUAAACCACUUGGAAUACUUAAAUCAAGUAUAUCUAACAUCUGGCAAAAGAAAUUAUAAUGGAUUCUACUGAAGUUCACACCAUGUUUCUUUUUGUUUGCUGUUCCUGCAAAUUUCCGCCACAGUUCCAUCAACAAGCUCCAAUAUUCUGAUAUUUCUCUUCACAUUCUUCUUCAGAACUAGAGAACAAGCUCAUUCUUUUUCGUCGCCUAAGUGUAUUCUCAAUGUUCUCUUUUUCAUUAUCCGUGCAGAAUAAUUCAAUGUCCAAUAGAUUAUAUAUACCAUCCUUACUCCCAGAAUUUUCUUCAUCUGUCUGAGCAUAGCUUAUAUCAUUUAUUUCUCACAACAGUUUGCUCUGCUUUGACAUUUUAGAGCUAAAUUUUUGAAUUUGCGUUUCAAUAAUCUACCAUUACGAAAUACCAAAAAUCAGUACUUUUUUUAUUCAGUGACUGGCUGACAACCUAAGGACUACAGGUAAGUGGAUUCCAAAACACAUAAGACAACAUGGGCCCCAGGAUGGUGUGUGAAAGAGAGAGAGAGCGAGAAAGCGAAGAACACACUCUAGCAGAGAAUUUCCUGUGCCUUUAGAAACUGAGCAAACAAGUAGAAAGAAAUUACUUUUAGCGUUAAGCAGAUGCCUAAUCGAAAAUCCGUCAUCGACUUUAUGGAAAUAUGCAGAAAUGGAUGUCGAAUAGAGUAACCAUAAAAGAACGUUUAACUCUCGACACUGAUGUAAAAUGCACCUGAUCAACAGACAAGGUGGAACUUUGUUGGAACCUGUUUUUCUUCCAGUCCCAAAGCCAAGACUUCACUCUCCUGUUAAACGAGCCAAACUGUUGCAUGAACAUUAUGUGUUCUUUAUCUUAUCUCUAAAGGAAUUUUGAUGAAGCGACUCUUACGGAGUGGCAAAAAAUCAAGCAAUUAAAGUUUUAUUCAAGAAAGUGGUUACAGCUCAUAAAGUGAAAAGAUGGAAAUUGUCUCUGAACAGAUUUAUAUGAUAAACUUAUGAAAAUAUUCUUAUA